rnacentral:snoRNA from 1 species
CAUCUUUGACAGACCUGCAACAGUUAAUGUCUGCUGCUAAAGUUUCCACUAUAGAUAAAAGAAAAAGAAGGUUCUCACACUUUGUCUGUCCGGUUGUGGCAGCCAAGACUGAAUGGGGGAAUACAGGA